UAGGGAAUCUUCGGCAAUGGGGGCAACCCUGACCGAGCAACGCCGCGUGAGUGAAGAAGGUUUUCGGAUCGUAAAGCUCUGUUGUAAGUCAAGAACGAGUGUGAGAGUGGAAAGUUCACACUGUGACGGUAGCUUACCAGAAGGGGACGGCUAACUACGUGCCAGCAGCCGCGGUAAUACGUAGGUCCCGAGCGUUGUCCGGAUUUAUUGGGCGUAAAGCGAGCGCAGGCGGUUUGAUAAGUCUGAAGUUAAAGGCUGUGGCUCAACCAUAGUUCGCUUUGGAAACUGUCAAACUUGAGUGCAGAAGGGGAGAGUGGAAUUCCAUGUGUAGCGGUGAAAUGCGUAGAUAUAUGGAGGAACACCGGUGGCGAAAGCGGCUCUCUGGUCUGUAACUGACGCUGAGGCUCGAAAGCGUGGGGAGCGAACAGGAUUAGAUACCCUGGUAGUCCACGCCGUAAACGAUGAGUGCUAGGUGUUGGAUCCUUUCCGGGAUUCAGUGCCGCAGCUAACGCAUUAAGCACUCCGCCUGGGGAGUACGACCGCAAGGUUG
rnacentral:rRNA from 1 species